AUCCAGCUGAUGAGUCGCAAAUAGGGCGAAACGCUCGUCAAACUCGAU
rnacentral:hammerhead_ribozyme from 1 species